rnacentral:rRNA from 1 species
AGUGAACGCUGGCGGCAGGCCUAAUACAUGCAAGUCGAACGGAAGCACAGUAAGAGCUUGCCCCUAAGGGUGGCGAGUGGCGGACGGGUGAGGCAUACAUCGGCAUCUACUUUUACGGGGGUGAUAACGUAGGGCAAGUUACGAUACUACCGCAUACAUUGUACCGCUGGAAUCAAGAGUUCUACGCACCUUUGCUGACUGUAUUAGCCGAUGCCGGAUUAGCUAGUUGGCGAGGUAACGGCCCACCAAGGCAACGAUCCGUAGCUGAUCUGAGAGGAUGAUCAGCCACACUGGAACUGAGACACGGUCCAGACUCCUACGGGAGGCAGCAGUAGGGAAUAUUGGACAAAGGGCGCAAGCCUGACCGAGCAAUACCGCGUGAGUGAAGAAGGCCUUCGGAUUGUAAAGCUCUUUUGUUAGGAAAGAAAAGCUGCGGGUUAAUCCACCGCUGUUCUGACGGUACCCAAUGAGUAAGCACCGGCUAACUUCGUG